GACGAACGCUGGCGGCGUGCUUAACACAUGCAAGUCGAGCGAUGAAGCUCCUUCGGGAGUGGAUUAGCGGCGGACGGGUGAGUAACACGUGGGUAACCUGCCUCAUAGAGGGGAAUAGCCUUUCGAAAGGAAGAUUAAUACCGCAUAAGAUUGUAGCUUCGCAUGAAGCAGCAAUUAAAGGAGUAAUACGCUAUGAGAUGGACCCGCGUCGCAUUAGCUAGUUGGUGAGGUAACGGCUCACCAAGGCGACGAUGCGUAGCCGACCUGAGAGGGUGAUCGGCCACAUUGGGACUGAGACACGGCCCAGACUCCUACGGGAGGCAGCAGUGGGGAAUAUUGCACAAUGGGGGAAACCCUGAUGCAGCAACGCCGCGUGAGUGAUGACGGUCUUCGGAUUGUAAAGCUCUGUCUUCAGGGACGAUAAUGACGGUACCUGAGGAGGAAGCCACGGCUAACUACGUGCCAGCAGCCGCCGUAACAC
rnacentral:rRNA from 1 species